UACGUAGGGGGCAAGCGUUGUCCGGAAUCAUUGGGCGUAAAGAGCGCGUAGGCGGCCAGAUAAGCCUCGGUGUGAAAGUCACAGGCUCAACCUGUGAAUGCCGCUGGAAACUGUCUGGCUAGAGUCCGGAAGGGGCGAGUGGAAUUCCUGGUGUAGCGGUGAAAUGCGCAGAUAUCAGGAGGAACACCAAUGGCGAAGGCAGCUCGCUGGAACGGUACUGACGCUGAGGCGCGAAAGCGUGGGGAGCAAACAGG
rnacentral:rRNA from 1 species